rnacentral:rRNA from 1 species
UACGGAGGGGGCUAGCGUUGUUCGGAAUUACUGGGCGUAAAGCGCACGUAGGCGGCUUUGUAAGUUAGAGGUGAAAGCCCAGGGCUUAACCCUGGAAUUGCCUUUAAGACUGCAUCGCUAGAAUUGUGGAGAGGUAAGUGGAAUUCCGAGUGUAGAGGUGAAAUUCGUAGAUAUUCGGAAGAACACCAGUGGCGAAGGCGACUUACUGGACACAUAUUGACGCUGAGGUGCGAAAGCGUGGGGGAGCAAACAGG